UACGUAGGGUGCGAGCGUUACUCGGAAUUACUGGGCGUAAAGCGUGCGUAGGCGGUUCGCUGUGUCCGAUGUGAAAGCCCCGGGCUUAACCUGGGAAUGGCAUUGGAAACUGGCGGGCUUGAGUGCGGCAGAGGGGGAUGGAAUUCCGCGUGUAGCAGUGAAAUGCGUAGAUAUGCGGAGGAACACCGAUGGCGAAGGCAGUCCCCUGGGCCUGUACUGACGCUCAUGCACGAAAGCGUGGGGAGCAAACAGG
rnacentral:rRNA from 1 species